rnacentral:rRNA from 1 species
GAUGAACGCUGGCGGCGUGCCUAAUACAUGCAAGUCGAGCGAACAGACGAGGAGCUUGCUCCUCUGCCGUUAGCGGCGGACGGGUGAGUAACACGUGGAUAACCUACCUAUAAGACUGGGAUAACUUCGGGAAACCGGAGCUAAUACCGGAUAACAUGUUGAACCGCAUGGUUCAACAGUGAAAGACGGUCUUGCUGUCACUUAUAGAUGGAUCCGCGCCGCAUUAGCUAGUUGGUAAGGUAACGGCUUACCAAGGCAACGAUGCGUAGCCGACCUGAGAGGGGGAUCGGCCACACUGGAACUGAGACCCGGUCCAGACUCCUACGGGAGGCAGCAGUAGGGAACCUUCCGAAAUGGGCGAAAGCCUGACGCAGCAACGCCGCGUGAGUGAAGAAGGUUUUCGGAUCGUAAAACGCUGUUAUUAGGGAAGAACAAAUGUGUAAGUAACGAUGCACGUCUUAAAGGUACCUAAGCAGAAAGCCACGGCUAACUACGU